UCGGGAAUUUUGCUCAAUGGGCGAAAGCCUGAAGCAGCAACGCCGCGUGAGGGAUGAAGGCCUUCGGGUUGUAAACCUCUUUUACCAGGGACGAUAAUGACGGUACCUGAUGAAUAAGUCACGGCUAACUACGUGCCAGCAGCCGCGGUAAUACGUAGGUGACAAGCGUUGUCCGGAUUUACUGGGCGUAAAGAGCGCGCAGGCGGUCGAUCAAGUCGAGUGUGAAAGCCCCCGGCUCAACUGGGGAGGGUCAUUCGAUACUGGUCGACUUGAAGGCAGGAGAGGGAAGCGGAAUUCCCGGUGUAGUGGUGAAAUGCGUAGAUAUCGGGAGGAACACCAGUGGCGAAGGCGGCUUCCUGGCCUGUUCUUGACGCUGAGGCGCGAAAGCUAGGGGAGCAAACGGG
rnacentral:rRNA from 1 species